GUCAUCAAGGAAAACUCAGUUUGCUAACUCAAAUCAUUUUAAUUGGAUGAUUUUGUAUGUGUUUUGUUCACUGUGCGUUGGUAAUGGUCGGUAUGGUUGGUUGGUCGGUAAUCCUAAUAUCCUCGUUCAUGGUGUUGAGGAAUCUAGGGUGUACCAGAAAUGUUACUUUGAAAUUACUAUGGACCAUAACGGACAAACGUGCACAAACAUGACACCGCGUUUGCGAAUUAAUUGGGCCAAUACUGCUGAAUAUGUUGAGGAUGUAAAAAUGGGGCGAAAAUGACGUUGGUAAUAAUUUGCAUACUCAUGAUUCCGGACGUGACAAAACUAUUCAUCGCAAAAGGAAUGGAAUUGCAUGCUAGAUCUCAGCGUCUCGGUGAUACGGUUUAUGUUCAAUGGAGAGCCAAUGUAUGUUUGAUUUUAAUCUAACUUGAAUGUUUUUUUUUUCCGGUGAUGAGCUGCUCGUCGAAGCUAAGUUGUCAAUUUUAUUUUGGUUUCCGCGUUUCUGUCUGCGAUGUUGAACCCUAAGAUGGAAGAAUUCGGCGAUAUGCUGGUCGAGAGCACUCACAACUUGUGAGACAAAGAGCGAAUUCAACAAAGUUAAACAAAGACAACGGAAACCAUCGUAGCUCCCAUUCAGUUCCGUACAGCAUAUACGGCUAUGGCGACUAUCAGAAAGCUGUUGAUCUAUGGAUACAAUUCGGACCAACAAACUGGUGAGACGAAUGAGCCCCUUGCGGCGGAAGCAUUCAGACAGAACUUCGCAACCAUCAGAACGCACCUAGCGGAGAAGACGUAUGCUGUUAUGUCAAGAAAGACAUACUUUUAGUUUGAGGUACGGACUGUGGGACUGAUGAGGGACUGCAAUUCCGAAACGAUGUUGGGGAAUGAUGAUCCAUCGUGUGCUUUUGAUGGCUACAAUAUAAGCAUGAGCACAAAUAUCGAAUCCGAUUGUUCAAUACGAGCAAUCACGACCCCUCAAUCCAAUGUAGUCGUUCUGUUACAAGAAAACAAGCCCCAAAUUCCUACUGAAGACACAUUUCCACUGCCUCAUUAAAUGGGCAAGUAAACUACACCUGCGCAGGGUCGAAGAUUUCGGUAGGCGAUACCUGGUCGGAAACGUAAUCGUUUUCUUCUUAAAUAUCCUCGACAAGAUCAGCACGAGAGGAAUAAAUACGAACUAAGAGUACUGGGUACUGGUGUCAUCGACUUCCUGCUAAUCAGCGCCCCAUUCUCUAGAGACAGCGAUGCAGUAGAAGGAGUUAUUGCGACGAGAAUUAUUGUUGUUUUCAAAUUUUACAUUUUUUUUUAUUGUAGAACUAUUGAAAUUAUAGAAUAAGUUAUUAGUGAAAUAUUAUAUAACAUGUUAUCAAACACAGGAUUUUAAAUAAAACAAAA